rnacentral:rRNA from 1 species
CCGCGGUAAUACGUAGGUGACAAGCGUUGUCCGGAUUUACUGGGCGUAAAGAGCGCGCAGGCGGUCGAUCAAGUCGAGUGUGAAAGCCCCCGGCUCAACUGGGGAGGGUCAUUCGAUACUGAUCGACUCGAAGGCAGGAGAGGGUAGUGGAAUUCCCGGUGUAGUGGUGAAAUGCGUAGAUAUCGGGAGGAACACCAGUGGCGAAGGCGACUACCUGGCCUGUUCUUGACGCUGAGGCGCGAAAGCUAGGGGAGCAAACG